AGCCAUGCCGCGUGUGUGAUGAAGGUCUUAGGAUCGUAAAGCACUUUCGCCAGGGAUGAUAAUGACAGUACCUGGUAAAGAAACCCCGGCUAACUCCGUGCCAGCAGCCGCGGUAAUACGGAGGGGGUUAGCGUUGUUCGGAAUUACUGGGCGUAAAGCGCGCGUAGGCGGAUUGGAAAGUUGGGGGUGAAAUCCCGGGGCUCAACCCCGGAACUGCCUCCAAAACUAUCAGUCUAGAGUUCGAGAGAGGUGAGUGGAAUUCCAAGUGUAGAGGUGAAAUUCGUAGAUAUUUGGAGGAACACCAGUGGCGAAGGCGGCUCACUGGCUCGAUACUGACGCUGAGGUGCGAAAGUGUGGGGAGCAAACAGGAUUAGAUACCCUGGUAGUCCACACCGUAAACGAUGAAUGCCAGUCGUCGGGCAGUAUACUGUUCGGUGACACACCUAACGGAUUAAGCAUUCCGCCUGGGGAGUACGGUCGCAAGAUUAAAAC
rnacentral:rRNA from 1 species